rnacentral:rRNA from 1 species
CAGUAGCCGCGGGAAUACGAAGGGUGCAAGCGUUACUCGGAAUUACUGGGCGUAAAGCGUGCGUAGGUGGUGGUUUAAGUCCGUUGUGAAAGCCCUGGGCUCAACCUGGGAAUUGCAGUGGAUACUGGGUCACUAGAGUGUGGUAGAGGAUAGUGGAAUUUCCGGUAUAGCAGUGAAAUGCGUAGAGAUCGGAAGGAACAUCUGUGGCGAAGGCGACUAUCUGGGCCAACACUGACACUGAGGCACGAAAGCGUGGGGAGCAAACAGGAUUAGAUACCCGCGUAGUCCCUGUCUCUUAUAA